rnacentral:rRNA from 1 species
UGGUGGAGUGAUUUGUCUGGUUAAUUCCGAUAACGAACGAGACCUCAGCCUGCUAACUAGUUACACGAAGAUUCGUCUCCGUGGCCAACUUCUUAGAGGGACUAUUAUGCGUCUACAGCUGAUGGAAGUUUGAGGCAAUAACA